rnacentral:misc_RNA from 1 species
UAAAGCAGGGUCUUCUGCUCUUUCCACUUGUGAGGAGACACCCUUUUGUUUGGUAGAGUCUUCAUCAUUGCUCUCUUGAUCACGAAGAAUAGCUUCAAUGAGUUCUUUGUAGCCAUAUUCCUCAAUAAAGGCCCAUCCAACAUCUCCACCAUAUUCCUUCAGAAGUUGUUUUACUGUUUUCUGAACAAGCCGUUCAUCAAAUCCAAAAGCUGUCAUGGAAUCAGUUGCCGCGUCCAUUCGGCUUAAUCGCUUUCUGGGUCUUCCUCUGGGUGCCAUUGUUGCGUGCUUCAAACGCCUCAACACACAGCAGAAGAGGAGACGAAAGAGUGUAA